GGAUGCUUCUUGGGUGAUGUACCCCGGAAUCAAGCUCCCUCCUCUCUGGUUCCAGGUGCAUCACCUGAGAACCACA
rfam:Myotis lucifugus cont2.18499, whole genome shotgun sequence.